rnacentral:rRNA from 1 species
UAUACGACCGUACCGCAAACCGACACUGGUGCGCGAGAUGAGUAUUCUAAGGCGCUUGAGAGAACUCAGGAGAAGGAACUCGGCAAAUUGACACCGUAACUUCGGAAGAAGGUGUGCCCUAUUAGUGUGUAGUGAACAACGAAGCAUGAAUGGGUUGCAAAAAAUCGGUGGCUGCGACUGUUUAUUAAAAACACAGCACUCUGCAAACACGAAAGUGGACGUAUAGGGUGUGACGCCUGCCCGGUGCUGGAAGAUUAAAUGAUGGGGUGCAAGCUCUUGAUUGAAGUCCCAGUAAACGGCGGCCGUAACGAUAACGGUCCUAAGGUAGCGAAAUUCCUUGUCGGGUAAGUUCCGACCUGCACGAAUGGCGUAACGAUGGCCACACUGUCUCCUCCUGAGACUCAGCGAAGUUGAAAUGUUUGUGAUGAUGCAAUCUCCCCGCGGAAAGACGGAAAGACCCCAUGAACCUUUACUGUAGCUUUGUAUUGGACUUUGAACAGAUCUGUGUAGGAUAGGUGGGAGGCUUUGAAGCAGGGUCGCUAGAUCUUGUGGAGCCAACGUUGAAAUACCACCCUGGUGUGUUUGAGGUUCUAACCUAGGUCCAUUAUCUGGAUCGGGGACAGUGCAUGGUAGGCAGUUUGACUGGGGCGGUCUCCUCCCAAAGCGUAACGGAGGAGUUCGAAGGUACGCUAGUUACGGUCGGACAUCGUGACGAUAGUGCAAUGGCAUAAGCGUGCUUAACUGCGAGACUGACAAGUCGAGCAGAUGCGAAAGCAGGACAUAGUGAUCCGGUGGUUCUGUAUGGAAGGGCCAUCGCUCAACGGAUAAAAGGUACUCUGGGGAUAACAGGCUGAUACCGCCCAAGAGUUCAUAUCGACGGCGGUGUUUGGCACCUCGAUGUCGGCUCAUCUCAUCCUGGGGCUGUAGCCGGUCCCAAGGGUAUGGCUGUUCGCCAUUUAAAGAGGUACGUGAGCUGGGUUUAAAACGUCGUGAGACAGUUUGGUCCCUAUCUUCCGUGGGCGCUGCAGAUUUGAGGAAGCCUGCUCCUAGUACGAGAGGACCGGAGUGGACACACCUCUGGUGUAUCGGUUGUCACGCCAGUGGCAUUGCCGAGUAGCUAAGUGUGGAAGAGAUAACCGCUGAAAGCAUCUAAGCGGGAAACUCGUUUCAAGAUGAGAUCUGCCGGGGCCUUGAGCCCCCUAAAGAGUCGUUCAAGACCAGGACGUUGAUAGGUCAGGUGUGGAAGUGA